rnacentral:rRNA from 1 species
AUUGAACGCUGGCGGAAUGCUUUACACAUGCAAGUCGAACGGCAGCACGGGGGCAACCCUGGUGGCGAGUGGCGAACGGGUGAGCAAUACAUCGGAACGUGCCCAGUCGUGGGGGAUAACGUAGCGAAAGCUACGCUAAUACCGCAUACGAACUCUGGUUGAAAGCGGGGGAUCGCAAGACCUCGCGCGAUUGGAGCGGCCGAUGGCAGAUUAGGUAGUUGGUGGGGUAAAGGCCUACCAAGCCGACGAUCUGUAGCUGGUCUGAGAGGACGACCAGCCACACUGGGACUGAGACACGGCCCAGACUCCUACGGGAGGCAGCAGUGGGGAAUUUUGGACAAUGGGCGCAAGCCUGAUCCAGCCAUUCCGCGUGCAGGAUGAAGGCCCUCGGGUUGUAAACUGCUUUUGUACGGAACGAAACGGCGCUCUCUAAUACAGGGCGCUAAUGACGGUACCGUAAGAAUAAGCACCGGCUAACUACGUGCCAGCCGCCGCCGUAACAC